rnacentral:lncRNA from 1 species
CAUCCUUAAAUUUCAUGUUCUAAUACUGCAUGCCAAUAGAACAAUUACCAUUACCAUCUCAAGGAAAUGAUUGCCCAUGUUCCAACCUUUCAUCCUUGAAACCUAAGUGGCAAGAACCACCAUCAUCAACACAAUAUUGCUUUGAAAGUUUUACAACAGCUCUGGCAGCUAGGCUUGCAUGUUAUGCAAACUCAGCCGCUGCUUGAACAACAGAGAUAGCAUCCUUAAAUUUCAUGUUCCAAUUCCGCCUUCCUAUAGAAACAUUACCAUUACCAUCUCCAGGAAAUGCUUACCCAUAUUCCAACCUUUCAUCCAUGAAACCUAAGUGGCAUGAACCACCAUCAUCAACACAAAAUUGCCUUGAAGUUCUCCAACAGCUCUGGCCGCUAGGCUUGCAAGUUCGCCAAACUCAGCCGAUGCUUGAGCAGCAGAGGUAGCAUCCUUAAAUUUCAUGUUCCAAUACUGCAUGCCAACAGAACAAUUACCAUUACCAUCUCAAGGAAAUGAUUGCCCAUGUUCCAACAUUUCAUCCUUGAGACCUAAGU